GCAGCUUACCAUGCAGUCGAGCGGUAAGGCCCUUUCGGGGGUACACGAGCGGCGAACGGGUGAGUAACACGUGGGUGACCUGCCCUCAGCUCUGGGAUAAGCCCGGGAAACUGGGUCUAAUACCGGAUAUGACUCCAUGACGCAUGUUGUGGGGUGGAAAGCCUUGUGCGGCUGAGGAUGGGCCCGCGGCCUAUCAGCUUGUUGGUGGGGUGAUGGCCUACCAAGGCGACGACGGGUAGCCGGCCUGAGAGGGCGACCGGCCACACUGGGACUGAGACACGGCCCAGACUCCUACGGGAGGCAGCAGUGGGGAAUCUUGCGCAAUGGGCGAAAGCCUGACGCAGCGACGCCGCGUGAGGGAUGACGGCCUUCGGGUUGUAAACCUCUUUCAGCUCCGACGAAGCGGAAGUGACGGUAGGAGCAGAAGAAGCACCGGCCAACUACGUGCCAGCAGCCGCGGUAAUACGUAGGGUGCAAGCGUUGUCCGGAAUUAUUGGGCGUAAAGAGCUCGUAGGCGGUCUGUCGCGUCGGCUGUGAAAACUCGGGGCUCAACUCCGAGCUUGCAGUCGAUACGGGCAGGCUAGAGUUCGGCAGGGGAGACUGGAAUUCCUGGUGUAGCGGUGAAAUGCGCACAUAUCAGGAGGACCACCUGUGGCGAAGGCUGGUCUCUGGGCCGAUACUGACGCUUAUGAGCUAAAAGCGUGGGGAGCGAACACGAGUAGAUACUCUGGUAGUCCACGUUUUUAAACGUUGUGCGCUAGGUGUGGGAUCCCCUUCCAUGGAUUUCGCUGC
rnacentral:rRNA from 1 species